AUCAUCUUCGGGGACAUCCGAUAAAAUUGAUACGAUACAGAGAAGAUUAGCAUGACCCCUGCGCAAGCAUGACACGUAUAAAUUGAGAAAUGGUCCAAAUAUUU